rnacentral:rRNA from 1 species
AUUGAACGCUGGCGGCAGGCCUAACACAUGCAAGUCGAACGAGUGGCGGACGGGUAAGUAAUGUCUGGGAAACUGCCUGAUGGAGGGGGAUAACUACUGGAAACGGUAGCUAAUACCGCAUACCAUCGGAUGUGCCCAGAUGGGAUUAGCUAGUAGGUGGGGUAAAGGCUCACCAAGGCGACGAUCCCUAGCUGGUCUGAGAGGAUGACCGGCCAAACGGGAACUGAGACACGGCCCAGACUCCUACGGGGGGCAGCAGUGGGGAAUAUUGGACAAGGGGCGCAAUCCGGAGGCAGCCAUGCCGCGUGUAUGAAGAAGGCCUUCGGGUUGUAAAGUACUUUAAGCGGGGAGGCGUUACCCGCAGAAGAAGCACCGGCUAACUCCGUGCCAGCAGCCGCGGUAAUAC